rnacentral:tRNA from 1 species
GACUCCGUGGCAUAAUGGAUAAGGCGUCUGACUUCGAAUCAGAAGAAGAUGGGUUCGAGUCCCGUCGGGGUCG